GGCCUCUUGGUCAAGUGGUUAAGACGCCGCCCUCUCACGGCGGUAACACGGGUUCGAAUCCCGUAGGGGCUA
rnacentral:tRNA from 1 species